rnacentral:tRNA from 1 species
CGGGGUGUGGCUCAGCCUGGUAGAGCGCCGCGUUCGGGACGCGGAGGUCGCUGGUUCAAAUCCAGUCACCCCGA